rnacentral:lncRNA from 1 species
GCCUGAUAUUCAAAUGAUGAAAUCAUAAUCUUUCAACCAGUUUAAUUGAAGUCUGGAGCUGGCAUGUCAGUUAACUGCUAGUAGUCUGUUGUUAUUUAUGUCAUUUUGUUUAUUUUCUUUAUUUUCUUUAGUUACAUCUUCUGACAUCAGAUUCGGACUUCACUUCAACUGAAUUUUAAAUGUUCGUAUUGUUAUGUGUUUAUUUUUCUACAUUGGCUAGAGGUAUAGGGGGAGGGUUGAGAUCUCAAACUUGUUUAACUCAGCCGCAUUUUUCCACCUGUCCCAAGUCAGGAGCCUCUGGCCUUUGUUAGUCUUGUAUUAUUUUAAUUUUAGUUUCUUGUGUACAAUUUGGAAAUUAGUAUGGCGUUUAUUAUCACUGAACUAGUAUAUAUAUUUGCUUAGGGGCCAGCUGAAGGACGCCUCUGGGUGCAGGAAUUUCUCGCUACUUUGAAGACCUGUUGGUGACCUUCUGCUGUUAUUUUUUUCUAUGGUCUGGUUGUUGUCUCUUUGACACAUUUCCCAUUUCCAUUCUCAAUUUUAUUGUCUUGUUUGACAUUUUUUUCUAAUGUGCUUUGUCUUUAUGCCUUUUUAGGCUUCUUUUUUACAUAUUUGUUUGUUUUUAGAGCGAUUAAGAUUAUAACAGAAUGGGCGUAUUGCAUUUGCACCAAUUUUUAAAAAAUCCAAUCUUUCAUUUGCGACACAAGGUUAUAUUUCAUCUGCGGAAAAAAUUAACUACUUUAUUUAAUCAUCGCUCUAUCGUGAAUAUUU